UUGAUGGUCCCUUUACUCCAUAGGGUCCAGGAGAGAGAGAAGUACCUGCACCAAGUGUCUAAAAAAUCAAAGAAGUGAAACCUGUGAAGAUGAAUCCGAAGUAGUUGUGGCCCUUUCUAAGUUUUUGUGUUGGAAUUUAUAGUUAAGGUUUUUGGCUCCCUGCCCCCUAGCUACCUCUCCCUGGUGCUAUACAUUUACGAGGCAUUUUCACAUGGUGAAGAUGAAACGAGUUCAAAUGCUUUAGUGGGGAUACGUUUUUUACUGCAGUAUUUUUAACUUAUGCUAUGUGUUCAGUUUUAGACAUACCUUGCGAUGGUCUGAUACUGCGUUAUUUAAAUCAUGCGUAACCUUCUCUUCAUGUAUGAUAUAUAUAUAUAUAUAUUUGGGUUAA